rnacentral:rRNA from 1 species
CCUACGGGGGGCAGCAGUGGGGGAUAUUGCACAAUGGGGGAAACCCUGAUGCAGCGACGCCGCGUGGGUGAAGAAGCGCCUCGGCGCGUAAAGCCCUGUCAGCAGGGAAGAAAAUGACGGUACCUGAAGAAGAAGCCCCGGCUAACUACGUGCCAGCAGCCGCGGUAAUACGUAGGGGGCAAGCGUUAUCCGGAUUGACUGGGUGUAAAGGGGGCGCAGACGGGGAUGCAAGCCAGGAGUGAAAGCCCGGGGCCCAACCCCGGGACUGCUCUUGGAACUGCGUGGCUAGAGUGCAGGAGGGGCAGGCGGAAUUCCUGGUGUAGCGGUGAAAUGCGUAGAUAUCAGGAGGAACACCGGUGGCGAAGGCGGCCUGCUGGACUGCAACUGACGUUGAGGCCCGAAAGCGUGGGGAGCAAACAGGAUUAGAUACCCCAGUAGUC